GCUGGCGGUAGGCUUAACACAUGCAAGUCGAGCGGUAACAGGCAUUUUGAUUCAGCUUGCUGAAUCUCGCGCUGACGAGCGGCGGACGGGUGAGUAACGCGUAGGAAUCUACCUAGUAGAAGGGGAUAGCCCGGGGAAACUCGGAUUAAUACCGUAUACGUCCUUAGGGAGAAGGAGGGCUUAGCUUAGAUGCUCUCGCUAUUAGAUGAGCCUGCGUAAGAUUAGCUUGUUGGUGAGGUAAAGGCUCACCAAGGCUACGAUCUUUAGCUGGUCUGAGAGGACGAUCAGCCACAUUGGGACUGAGACACGGCCCAGACUCCUACGGGAGGCAGCAGUGGGGAAUAUUGGACAAUGGGCGCAAGCCUGAUCCAGCCAUACCGCGUGUGUGAAGAAGGCCUUCGGGUUGUAAAGCACUUUAAGUAAGGAAGAAAAGUAUAUUGUUAAUACCAAUAUACCGUGACAUUACUUACAGAAUAAGGACCGGCUAAUUCCGUGCCAGCAGCCGCGGUAAUACGGAAGGUCCAAGCGUUAAUCGGAAUUACUGGGCGUAAAGCGCGCGUAGGUGGUUUAUUAAGUUGGGUGUGAAAGCCCCGGGCUCAACCUGGGAACUGCAUCCAAAACUGAUUCACUA
rnacentral:rRNA from 1 species